UACGGAGGUCUCAAGCGUUGUUCGGAAUUACUGGGCGUAAAGGGUGCGCAGGCCGCGCGGGCAGUCAAAUGUGUAAUCCAGGGGCUCAACCCCUGAACUGCGCUUGAUACUUCCGCGCUCGAGCUUUGGAGAGGAGUCUGGAAUUCUCGGUGUAGCAGUGAAAUGCGUGGAUAUCGAGAAGAACACUUAGGGCGUAGGCAAGACUCUGGACAAAUGCUGACGCUCAUGCACGAAGGCUAGGGUAGCGAACGGG
rnacentral:rRNA from 1 species